GUACUCUCACACUCCCGAUCUUUGGAUUGGGAGCGGUGGACUUGGGUGUUGCUGCUUACCGUGGCUCACCUCAAAUGGAUUCGUGCACCUCCUGGUUGGACAUAGUACGGCGUGAUAAGUGUCUUCGCCGGCACCUCAGUAGAGGGUGGCUGAUCGGGAGCUCUGUGCUUCAAACCGUCUUCGGACACAACUGACA
rnacentral:misc_RNA from 1 species